UGAGGAAUAUUGCACAAUGGGGGAAACCCUGAUGCAGCGACGCCGCGUGAAGGAUGACGGUCUUCGGAUUGUAAACUUCUGUUAAGUGGGAAGAAAGAAUUGCCUUUAAUAGGGGCAAGAGAUGACGGUACCACUAGAGAAAGCACCGGCUAAAUUUGUGCCAGCAGCCGCGGUAAUACAAGUGGUGCUAGCGUUAUUCGGAUUCAUUGGGCGUAAAGGGUACGUAGACGGCGUGCUAAGUUAGUUGUUAAAUCUCUCGGCCUAACCGAGAUCAAGCGAUUAAUACUGGCGUGCUAGAGGGUGGAAGAGAGAAGUGGAAUUCUCGGAGUAGCGGUAAAAUGCGUAGAUAUCGAGAGGAACACCGAUGGCGAAGGCAGCUUCUUGGUCCACACCUGACGUUGAGGUACGAAAGCGUGGGUAGCAAACA
rnacentral:rRNA from 1 species